AACGAACGCUGGCGGCAGGCUUAACUCAUGCAAGUCGAGCGAGACCUUCGGGUCUAGCGGCGGACGGGUGAGUAACGCGUGGGAACGUGCCCUUCUCUACGGAAUAGCCCCGGGAAACUGGGAGUAAUACCGUAUACGCCCUUUGGGGGAAAGAUUUAUCGGAGAAGGAUCGGCCCGCGUUGGAUUAGGUAGUUGGUGGGGUAAUGGCCCACCAAGCCGACGAUCCAUAGCUGGUUUGAGAGGAUGAUCAGCCACACUGGGACUGAGACACGGCCCAGACUCCUACGGGAGGCAGCAGUGGGGAAUCUUAGACAAUGGGGGCAACCCUGAUCUAGCCAUGCCGCGUGAGUGAUGAAGGCCUUAGGGUUGUAAAGCUCUUUCAGCUGGGAAGAUAAUGACGGUACCAGCAGAAGAAGCCCCGGCUAACUCCGUG
rnacentral:rRNA from 1 species